UAUUUGGCUGGGACCAUGGAAAGCAAGGAAUGCUAAAAUAUUCGAUGCCGUGUCUUAUAAGCUUGAUAGUAUCAUUCUUGAAGGUACGGUAUUGGUUGGAGUGGAUUCAAUUGCUUCAUGUUUAUAGGAAAAAAGAUUUGUUAAUUAUUUGUUUGGAAAGAUAGAAUUUUGCUGUACUUCGUUUCAUGCUCUUGAUUUUUUUUAUAUAUUUUUAAUUUUUUUAUUUUUUUGAGAAACACAGUGGUAACAUGACCUUAAGUUUCAUUGAUCAAUGAAAUUAGUCUAAUUAGAGAUAGAAGGAUGGA
rnacentral:lncRNA from 1 species